UGUUUGACUACCUGAGAGCUGUCUAGAUUGAGCUGAAGGAAUUCAGAAAAGGGCAGUAUGAAUUCUUCAGCGUGGAGGCCGACUUUGUGGAGAGGAGGCAGGGCCUAUGUCGAUGCUGCUCGCUCUAUUUUCAGGGCUUGGCACCAUUCAUCCUCAAAAAGGCUACGGGUCCUCACUCAGAAUUAAAGCCAUUUGUAAGAGAGGAUCAUGGAAUGAAUACGGGCAUUGAGUCAAGCAGUCUGUGUUCCACUGGCGGUGUGACCUGGGGCAGGCCAUUUCACCUCACUGAGCCUUAGUUUCCUCACCUGUAAAAUGUGAAAAAUAUCACCUUCCUUACCAGGCUUUUCUGAGGAUUUAAUGACAUCAUGUUCAGUGCCCAGUAUGGGUGGAUAAUACCCAGGAGUUUCCUCCUCUUCUCCUCCUAAGUUGACUUGAUGCCCCCCGCUGAAGAUCAUGGCUGAACUGGCUCAAUUCGGAUCCAGGACUCCUGGCUUUGUCUCUUCCCUAGUUGCCCACCACACCCAUGGACACCCUUAGGUAGUUUAUCCUUUUGGGACAACUGGAUUUAUUAGAAAAGGGUAUUCUGGGGUGGAAUAAGGCCCUUUUCAGUCCCCAUGGAGCCUUUUUGGAAGAUGAAGUUCUCAAACCCACAAGAGAAUUCAUAAGACGAGCACACCACCCACAGUUAGGUUUCCCUCUCAAGUGCUUUAUCUCCACGUGGGGCAAAUAGCUCUUUGUCUGCAUAUGUUAUUGGAGCUUUUGGAGUCCAGCCUUCAGAAGAGCUCUAAUUUUUGGAUUCAUAUCAGUUUAUUAGAGAAGCCUAGUUCUAAGGAUUAGCAAAUGGGUAGGUGCUCAGCCAGCCCAGAACAAGCAGAGCCAUGACAGAAGUUUCUGGAAUCUCACAGAGUCGGUGUCUUCAUGGACUCAGGGGGCCUAAAUCCAAUAGCCUGGAUUUGUCACUUUCCCUUAUUCCCUUAUCAAACUCUUCCCUUUUGGACAUCAGAGAAGGAAAGUACUUCCUGUAAGGGGGCAAUUUGCAAAGCUUCAUGGAAGUGGCAUUUGAGUGUGGCCUUAAAGGAUGUGUAGGAUUGGGAACCAUAGAUAUUUAGAGGAAGGCAUUCCUGGCAGAAGGAACAGCAGCAAAACACAGAAGUGGAAAUUAGUAGCAGCAUUAAUGGAGAAUAAUUUGGGGAAUAAGAUAUACAAAUGGAAUAAUAAAAAUAGCAUUAAUUAAACAUUGUGGGAGUCAUUCUGUAAGAUGGCCCCUGGUGAUCUCCGCCUCCUGUUCUUCAUGCCUUAUGUAACCGCUCUCCUUGAGUGUGGUCUGGAAUUACUGACUCACUUUCAAUGCACAGAAUGUAUCAGAAGUAAUGGGAUAUUCCUUCUGAGAAUAGAUUAUAAAAAAAGAGUGUGGCUUCCUUCCUGGCAUUUUCGCUUGCUCUCUCUUUAAUUGUGUGCUCCAAACAAAGCCAGCUGCCAUGUUGUGAGGAAGCCCUGUGUGGAGGACCACAUGGUGAGGA
rnacentral:lncRNA from 1 species